ACCCAUCUCAGCUUAAGUAUAUAACAAGUCCUUAGGAACCUUCUAGAAUCAUCCACCCUGAGUGGGUCUCUCCAGUAGUCUUUCCCAUACCACCUAGCUCAAGCAUCAGUCACCAUGGUUAUUGGCUAACCACCUGCCUUUCCCAUUACAGCUAUCCCAGGUCCUGCUGGCACCUGGCACCCUGUGUCAUGUCUGGGAAUACCUAUCUCUCACUAGGCCCUAAACAAUGGCUUGAGGCUUCCAGAUGAAAAGCCAAACUCCUCAUGUGCAGGGGACACCCAUGGGGAACAUCCCCCAGGUAUCACCCAGGCACAUCCUCCUGGAGGCCACCCUCCUGUUCCUCCUGGUCAGGGCUAGGCGUGACCACCACUCAGCUGUUCCCUCCCCCUGGCUGCCACUAACGUGCACACCAUCUGACUGAACCUGGAUCAACCAGGCAAAUAUUUGCUUUAAAGAAAUCUAAACAGUUGCCUAACUGUGGGGAACCAGUUCCACAUGUGCCAGACUGGCUGAGGAAAAUGGAGGGCAGCUGCGUCCUCUAUAGUCUCCGGGGCCUCCUGGACUGAGCCUGUGUCUCCCUGCUUGCCUCUGACAGGAACUGGGAAUGGAAGCUGCCACCCACAAGGGUCAAGACAGCGGGGACAGGCAGCCCAGGGUGCAGCCGUUGGGACCCUUCACAGAUGGCUGCCAAUUCUUCAUCAAGGGCCCCACAGAGCAGCCAGGUGUGCUGAUACAUGAACACGGUGGCCAAGAAGCUGAGGCAGGACGAGGAAGAUGUAAGCAACCCUGAGGAAAAUAUCUUGCCUUGAUUCACCGCAGAGGGCCCAGGUGGCAAAAAUAUGCUCCAGGAGCCGGGACAUGAAAUGUGACAUCAGAAGUUUCAAGGAAGCCAUCGGCAAUCAAGACUGAAAAGUUUCCACGCACCAUGUACCUGUCCAAGUUGGUACUUCAAGGAUGGGGACCAGUCACCCCACACAUGCCCCUUUCCUCCCUGAGGCACACCCCACAAUGGGUGGCAUCCGAAUUGUCCUCACAGGCACCCAAGCCUCUCAGGCAGGUCUGCAGCCUGCACCCACUCGGGUAUUGUGUCAACACCGGCAGCUUAAGCCACUGGCCACCAGCCCUAUGGACACAGGACUACCAUGUCCCGACCUAUCAUGGACAGCCCAGCACUGGAUCUUCCCUGUCCCCUCCUGCCACUGCCAUCAGAAAGUGGGUGUUAGGUUGGUCCUCAGAAGAGGAGUCCCAGAUCUCUGCAUCCCUUGCUUGGCCAGGUGAGGCCUGGGACUUACCCAGGUCCCUGUGCCUUCUGCUGCCUCAUGUGAUGUAACCUGGAGCCACUUCUGGGGUCACACUCAGGGAGGGGACUGGAAAAUGGAGACAGAGUGGAUGGCCUGCGCCAUGUCACCCAGGGAGCAAGGAGCAUGUACGGACUCAGGUCAGGGGUCCCUCCCUGGGAAGUCUGCCCCACAGACUUGUGUCUAGGCACAGGGGCGUCUGUGAUUGGCAUGAUUUGGGAAGUGGAGGAGUUAUGGAUCAGCAAUGAGAAGGGGAGAGGAAGAAGGAGAAGAAAUGAAGAGGAGUAGAUGGAGGAGACAAAGGGAGAGGAGUGGCAUCCAGGAACACUGCUCGGCACCCUGCAGUGCUAGGACACUGUUCCCAGAGUGACUCAGUCCAGAGUCAGUUCCUGCUGCCUCCUCAGCACCCAGAGUUAGAGCGGGUGUGCCCAGCCACAAGUCUGUCAGCUGUGUCCCACCCCUCGGGGUCAUGAAGGCCUCCCUUGUUCCACACCUCCACCAUCUCAGAGUCCAGGCAGAAUUUCUUAACCAUCCAUCUUAACAGCGGUGGACCUUGGUUGGGCAGGGCUGCGAUGCCAGCAGACAGUGACUCCACCCUCUUCCUCCCUCCAGGAGGAUAUGUGGGCUCAGAGACAGGGUCCCAUCACCAUCCCAUGUCUAAAGAGCCUCAAUGAGACCCUAGCCUUUGGGUUCACCCUUGAAUAAAGCCACAUCUACAUGAGGAAGGGUCCCUGGGAGCCACCUCCCUCCAGAACUGUCCGACACAAGGCCAGAACCACCACUUCUUAGACCUAAAUGAAGCCCAAAUCAACUCCUUUUCCUGUUUUUGUUUUCAAUGUCUUCUGCUCAGGAUGUAAUCUUGGGCCAGGCGCAGGCAACCUAAUGCUCUACCCCUGAGCCACGCCCCCAGCCCCUCACUGGGGACUCUAGGCUGUCACUCUACCCUGAGC